GAACGCGAAGAACCUUACCAGGUCUUGACAUCCCGAUGACCGGCGUAGAGAUACGCUCUUCUCUUCGGAGACAUCGGUGACAGGUGGUGCAUGGUUGUCGUCAGCUCGUGUCGUGAGAUGUUGGGUUAAGUCCCGCAACGAGCGCAACCCUUAUUGUUAGUUGAUACAUUUAGUUGAUCACUCUAGCGAGACUGCCGUUGAUAAAACGGAGGAAGGUGGGGACGACGUCAAAUCAUGAUGCCCCUUAUGACCUGGGCUACACACGUACUACAAUGGCAGUCAUACAGAGGGAAGCAAAGCCGUGAGGUGGAGCAAAUCCCUGAAAAGCUGUCUCAGUUCAGAUUGUAGGCUGCAACUCGCCUACAUGAAGUCGGAAUUGCUAGUAAUCGCGGAUCAGCAUGCCGCGGUGAAUACGUUCCCGGGUCUUGUACACACC
rnacentral:rRNA from 1 species